rnacentral:rRNA from 1 species
ACGCUCGACACCUACGGAGGCAGCAGUGGGGAAUAUUGCACAAUGGGGGAAACCCUGAUGCAGCGACGCCGCGUGAAGGAAGAAGUAUCUCGGUAUGUAAACUUCUAUCAGCAGGGAAGAAAGUGACGGUACCUGACUAAGAAGCCCCGGCUAACUACGUGCCCGCAGCCGCGGUAAUCUGAGCGGGCUGGCAAGGC